AAAGGUGAGAGAAGGAGAAAUAAGGAGGUAAGCUUAAUAGAAAAAUUAGGGGUAAAUAGGUAACAAUGUCAUGUGCUUUAUUGUUUAUAGUGUUUGAACCAUUCUGAGCUAUAUUUCUUUUGAAUUUAAACCGUCUCUGCCUCAAAACGUUAUAAGUCUAAAAGACCUGCUGACCUAUGCAUUUCUUUUACAUGAUCUUCUUGACUUGCUUAUAAGUAGCUUAUUGAAUUUUUUUUAAUUCAAAUUUUUUUAUCUACUAUGCACUACAGGAAAUUAAGCUUUUAGUAGUGUUUGGACAGAAAACGCCUCAAAAGAUAAAAUAAUAAUAGUAUUUUUCUCAUAAACGCCUGAAAAGAUAAGCUAAAGGUAAAGUAAUAGCGAUAUUUAUGAGAAAAACCCACAAAAUAUCAUUUUAUUUUUAACCAAACUACGCGGUUUUUGCUAGGCUUAGUUUUAUCCUCCAAAUUAGUUUCCUGAAAUUCCUUAUUUUUUUCCCCUAAAAUUUUCCCCAAAUCCCUAAUUUUUUACCUCUAGAAUUCUGGUAAUUUUCUCUUCCCCCUCUUUGAUUGAGCAAUAAAACAAAUAUGAAAUAUCCCCAACUCACAAAUUUCGGUUAAAAGCCAAACACAUUCGCCUAACACACGCACACGUUCAAGCUCCACCUUCAAAUCUACCAGCAAAGAGAGAAAAAAAAGGAAAGAACUUGAUUUGAGUCCAUAAAGAAAAGGCUUUUUUUUUUUAAUCUCUAAUUCGUCCAAAUCAAUUUAUUUGGAGAUGCAAUCCGUUGUUAUUACCCCAACAUAUUGUUGAAGCACCCAUUAUCAAACCCUAGAAUGCUUCUCUUCUCGUCCUAAUCCUUCAAAGCCAUCAUCAAGCUUAUUUGGCGCCCGCGUCUCGGCUGCAAAAGGUGUAAUCCGUCGCGACGUGCUCAUGGCGUUGUCUUCGGGUUCGAUUACCUGGUUUUACGCGCAGGCUGAGUAAGUGCCUUUUUAUUUUUAGAUUUGUUUUGUUACAAUUUUAGGUUAAUUUUGAAGUAGGGUUAAUUGUGUUAAACGCUACCAAACUAUCGUUUAAAUUUUAAAUGAUGGAUAAUUUGCUAUUGAUUAUGAUGGAAAUGACUAUUAAAUGUUUAAAAUUCCUCUUAUUUAAUUGAUGGUUGCUGCUGUUUAAAUAUAA